rnacentral:rRNA from 1 species
CGGCGGACGGGUGAGUAACGCGUGGGUAACCUGCCUCAUACAGGGGGAUAACAGUUGGAAACGGCUGCUAAUACCGCAUAAGCGCACAGUACCGCAAGGUACGGUGUGAAAAACUCCGGUGGUAUGAGAUGGACCCGCGUCUGAUUAGGUAGUUGGUGGGGUAACGGCCUACCAAGCCGACGAUCAGUAGCCGACCUGAGAGGGUGACCGGCCACAUUGGGACUGAGACACGGCCCAA